rnacentral:lncRNA from 1 species
CUUUAAACAUAAUUGGCAUAAACCUUUCUUUAAAUAGUAAUGAAGUGCUUGUGUUUGGUCUAAAAUUAUUUCAUUUCAGUUGUGAAUAAAUAUUUCACUUUCAAAGCUUUAACGAUUGUAUCCACAUCAGUAUUGUAGUCAUACUACGAGGAAUACUAAUUCACAAUUCUGGUAUGGAAACUUUGUGAGUGCUUUUUCCCUUGAACAUGCGCAAAUCAUUUGCCGAUAAGCAUUAAGGAAAUAAAAGUUCUAGGCAUAAACUUGAAAUAGUUACAAGUAUAAUAUAGUUCUUAAGCUUCGAAAACACACGUAGUUAUCAGAUUAUCAAAAAGCCUAGUAUUUUUUUUCAAGAAUUUCAA